UUACGGGAGGCAGCAGUGGGGAAUUUUGGACAAUGGGCGCAAGCCUGAUCCAGCAAUGCCGCGUGCAGGAUGAAGGCCUUCGGGUUGUAAACUGCUUUUGUACGGAGCGAAACGGCCUUUUCUAAUACAGAAGGCUAAUGACGGUACCGUAAGAAUAAGCACCAGCUAACUACGUGCCAGCAGCCGCGGUAAUACGUAGGGUGCGAGCGUUAAUCGGAAUUACUGGGCGUAAAGCGUGCGCAGGCGGUUUUGUAAGACAGAUGUGAAAUCCCCGGGCUUAACCUGGGACCUGCAUUUGUGACUGCAAGGCUGGAGUACGGUAGAGGGGGAUGGAAUUCCGCGUGUAGCAGUGAAAUGCGUAGAUAUGCGGAGGAACACCGAUGGCGAAGGCAAUCCUCUGGACCUGUACUGACGCUCAUGCACGAAAGCGUGGGGAGCAAACAGGAUUAGAUACCCGGGUAGUCCC
rnacentral:rRNA from 1 species